rnacentral:rRNA from 1 species
AGUGAACGCUGGCGGUAGGCCUAACACAUGCAAGUCGAACGGCAGCACAGUAAGAGCUUGCUCUUACGGGUGGCGAGUGGCGGACGGGUGAGGAAUGCAUCGGAAUCUACUUUUUCGUGGGGGAUAACGUAGGGAAACUUACGCUAAUACCGCAUACGACCUACGGGUGAAAGCAGGGGAUCUUCGGACCUUGCGCGAUUGAAUGAGCCGAUGUCGGAUUAGCUAGUUGGCGGGGUAAAGGCCCACCAAGGCGACGAUCCGUAGCUGGUCUGAGAGGAUGAUCAGCCACACUGGAACUGAGACACGGUCCAGACUCCUACGGGAGGCAGCAGUGGGGAAUAUUGGACAAUGGGCGCAAGCCUGAUCCAGCCAUACCGCGUGGGUGAAGAAGGCCUUCGGGUUGUAAAGCCCUUUUGUUGGGAAAGAAGAGCAGCAGGUUAAUACCCCGCUGUUCUGACGGUACCCAAAGAAUAAGCACCGGCUAACUUCGUG